rnacentral:rRNA from 1 species
AGCGCAACCCUACCCUUUAGUUGCCAUCAGGUAAUGCUGGGGACUCUAAAGGAACUGCCUACGCAAGUAGUGAGGAAGCGGGGAUGACGUCAAAUCAGCACGGCCCUUACGUCCAGGGCUACACACGUGCUACAAUGGCCGAUACAGAGGGCAGCUACCUGGUGACAGGAUGCAAAUCUCCAAAGUCGGUCUCAGUUCGGAUCGGAGUCUGCAACCCGACUCCGUGAAGUUGGAUUCGCUAGUAAUCGCGCAUCAGCCAUGGCGCGGUGAAUACGUUCCCGGGCCUU